GACGAACGCUGGCGGCGCGCUUAACACAUGCAAGUCGAACGGAAAGGCCUGCUUUCCCUUGUGGAUUGCGGGUACGCGAGUGGCGAACGGGUGAGUAACACGUGAGUGAUCGGCCCCCAACUUGGGUAUAAGUCUGGGAAACUGAGUCUAAUUCACGUUAGGACUGCAGGGUGGUGCCUGUGGUGGAAAACGAUUUGCUAGCGGCUGAGGAUGAGCUUGCGUGGGAUCAGCUUGUCGGUGGGGGAAUGGCCUAGCAAGGCGGCGAGGGUUAACUGGCCUAUUGGGACUGAGAGACGCCACAGGACCGUACGGCGGCCCGUAGUGGGGCAUAUGACAGAAUGAGGGGAAGUCUGAUGCAGCGACGCAGCGUGGGGGAUGACGGCCUUGUGGUUGUAUACUCCUUUCGACCGCGAAGGAGCUACCUGGGUGGAAGGGUGGUGACGGUAGUGGUAGAAGAAGCACCGGCUAACUACGUG
rnacentral:rRNA from 1 species